GACGUACGCUGGCGGCGUGCUUAACACAUGCAAGUCGUACGGUAAGGCCCUUUCGGGGGUACACGAGUGGCGAACGGGUGAGUAACACGUGAGUAACCUGCCCACAACUUUGGGAUAACGCUAGGAAACUGGUGCUAAUACUGGAUAUGUGCUCCUGCUGCAUGGUGGGGGUUGGAAAGCUCCGGCGGUUGUGGAUGGACUCGCGGCCUAUCAGCUUGUUGGUGGGGUAGUGGCCUACCAAGGCGGCGACGGGUAGCCGGCCUGAGAGGGUGACCGGCCACAUUGGGACUGAGAUACGGCCCAGACUCCUACGGGAGGCAGCAGUGGGGAAUAUUGCACAAUGGGCGCAAGCCUGAUGCAGCAACGCCGCGUGCGGGAUGACGGCCUUCGGGUUGUAAACCGCUUUCAGCAGGGACGAAGCUUUUUGUGACGGUACCUGCAGAAGAAGCACCGGCUAACUACGUG
rnacentral:rRNA from 1 species